GCCGAGGUAGCUCAGCUGGUUAGAGCGCCAGACUCAUAAUCUGGAGGUCGCGGGUUCUAGACCUAGGAACGGCUGCCCACAAGUCCCGCCCUCGGCA
rnacentral:tRNA from 1 species